rnacentral:lncRNA from 1 species
GGGGGUUGAAAUUUUUCUCAUUUCAAAUUUCAUAAAUGAAAAGAAAAUUUCUUCAAACAAUUUUUUUGAGAGGAUUAAUAUUCAACAGCAUAGUGAAUUGCUCAAAGGCAAAAAAAAUAUUUUAAGUUCAUUAGACCACAUUCAUUCUGUGUCAACUAUUUAAUCACAAUCCAAAUUUAGAGCUGAAUCCAGCUUGAAUGUUGUGUCCAUACUUGCCCAAACCAUUCAGGGUUCAA